rnacentral:rRNA from 1 species
AUGACCACCGCCGCGGUCAUCAUCCUGCUCGCAUCGCUCCUCCCGGCGCUAGCCGCCGGAACAGAUAGCCGCUCGCCCGCCGCUGACUACGGCUUGGCCCUCACGCCCAGUGGCAAGUGCGGCAUCGUCCUGCCCGUAGCCGUGGGCACGUACGACAUGGGCACGUACGCUCCGGGCAGCGCGUACGAGGCCAACCUGCACCAUCUCGUCGCCACCAUUCCCACCAAGGCGAAUGCGGAAUCCAGCGGCUACUCUUAUUACAGCGAAUCCUGCAGCGAUUCUUAUUCCGGGGAAUCCCGCAAUUGCUAUUACGGCAACAUCGCCGGCGAUAGCCCCAACCGGAUUGUGGCCUCCGCCGACUGCUCAGGGCACCCGGACGCCAGGUCGCCGGACUGCGGCGCUUGCAUCGCGCUGGCCUUCCAGGAGGCGCAGAGGCUGUGCCCGUUCCAGAGGAUGGCUGAGGCCGCGGUUGGCGGCGGCGCGUGCAACUGCAGCGCACACUUCCACGACUACGACAUCAUGGAGCAGUUCCAACACGGCGACCGCAGUAGUGAUCCUCGGUGGAACACAUCGGACCAGGUUGUCGUGGGUGUUGUUGCGGAAAAUGAGGAGAACAUCACGAGACUGAAAUGGGCAUGCCGUACCUUGGAGACAACAAUCAUGGAGAUCUUAGCAAACCUUGGGUGGAUGUCUAAUAGAAGAAUUUGUGCCUAG